rnacentral:rRNA from 1 species
CGCUUUUUCUUUCACCGGAGCUUGCUCCACCGAAAAGAAAAGAGUGGCGAACGGGUGAGUAACACGUGGGUAACCUGCCCAUCAGAAGGGGAUAACACUUGGAAACAGGUGCUAAUACCGUAUAACACUAUUUUCCGCAUGGAAGAAAGUUGAAAGGCGCUUUUGCGUCACUGAUGGAUGGACCCGCGGUCAUUAGCUAGUUGGUGAGGUAACGGCUCACCAAGGCAACGAUGCAUAGCCAACCUGAGAGGGUGAUCGGCCACACUGGGACUGAGACACGGCCCAGACUCCUACGGGAGGCAGCAGUAGGGAAUCUUCGGCAAUGGACGAAAGUCUGACCGAGCAACGCCGCGUGAGUGAAGAAGGUUUUCGGAUCGUAAAACUCUGUUGUUAGAGAAGAACAAGGAUGAGAGUAAAAUGUUCAUCCCUUGACGGUAUCUAACCAGAAAGCCACGGCUAACUACGUGC